rnacentral:rRNA from 1 species
UAGUACACUUAGAUUAAAAUUUACAAAUACUAGAAUAUUAGAAGUUAUGUUCUUUAAAUUUAAAAAAUUUGGCGGUGUUUUAGUCUAGUUAGAGGAACCUGUUUUAUAAACGAUACAACACGCAUUAUUUUACUUAUUUUAGUAAACAGCUUGUAUACCGUCAUUAUAAGAUAAUUUAGGAGAAAAUAUUAUUGGAAUCAUAUAAUUGAGUAUAUUAGAUCAAGGUGCAGCUUAUAGAUAAGUAAAUAUGGGUUACAAUAAAAUUUAUUUAGUACGAAUUAAGUAUUUAAAUAUAUUUAUGAAGGAGGAUUUAAUUGUAAGAGAGGGAGUAGUGAGAUUUUCUGAUAUGAGCUCUAAAUUAU